CCCGAGGUAACGGGAAACAUGGUCCACCAUGGGCAUGGUUAGUGAAUGUCAAGUUCCACUGGAAUGUGGGCAGCGCUUCGGCGUUCUUUUUGGGUCAGAGAGGGUGAAAACCCCGUUUUACAUUCAUUAGCGUGUCUGUUGUGUGGGCGUGUUGAAGAGUCGGAUUGUUUGGGAAUGCAAUCCAAAACGGGUGGUAAAUUCCAUCCAAGACUAAAUAUUAGCAAGAGACCGAUAGCGAACAAGUACCGUGAGGGAAAGAUGAAAAGCACUCUGAAGAGAGAGUGAAAUAGUACGUGAAAUUGCUGAAAGGGAAACGCUUGAGACGAUUGUUGCUCUUGGUUGAAUCAGUUUCGGCUGCUCUUUAACCUUGUUGGCAAGUCAGCAGCAUUUUCGAGUGGCAUUGACGCUUUUCAAGAAUGUAGCAAUCGUUCGCCGGUUGUGUUAUAGCUUGAAUUUCUCGCCAUGCUGCUUGAGAGUGAGGACUGCUUGGCUCUUUACUUGUGGUUUGUGUGUUUGGUUUGGCAAUCAAAGGCCUUGGCUUCACCUCCAAGACUUUGGUUGUCAAGUUAGGCACUGCAAGUUGCAAGUGGGAGUGAAAGAGGUUUGUUAAAU
rnacentral:rRNA from 1 species